rnacentral:lncRNA from 1 species
AUGAAGAUCAACACCUCCAGCACCGGCAGAAGAGCAGCGGCUCUGCAAAGACCCGUCCUGCCAGCAGAACAUCGCAGAGAAGACGACGCGCCUUCUGCUCACAGGAAGAUGCGCUGCUCCAGCCCCUGGACAUCACUUUGCCUUCUCCGCAGUUGGAGGCAGGAACAACGCCUGGUGCUGCUCCAGCGCCGGCAGAACAGCUCUGGGAACGCCUGUCCUGCCAGCAGAGCACUGGGGAAAAGAGGACGCGCCUCCUGCUCAGAGGAAGGGAUGUCAGUGUGUGGGCACAUGGCCCAGCUCCCAGCCUGUUCUCCCGGCUGGGAGGGGCGUUCCCAUAAGAGAAGCCUGGGGCAGCAGAGGAGUUACUCUUCUCCCAUAACCUCAGCAUUGAUGAUGCCCGCCUGACCCAGGAUGACAAAGGAAGAAUUGGACAGGAGAGGAGAGCACAGCUGAGACUGCCAGUCUGAAGUGAUGUGUGGGAGAGGAGACUGGGCCAGGCGAGGUCAGAUAGGGAGCGUGGGGACAUAGUUGACACAAAAAUGUCUGUUAAUUAGUAGCGUUAUUGUCGAAAAGCUCUGUAAAUAAAUUGUUUGAUAUCAUUCA